rnacentral:rRNA from 1 species
GAAAGGCGCUUUUGCGUCACUGAUGGAUGGACCCGCGGUGCAUUAGCUAGUUGGUGAGGUAACGGCUCACCAAGGCCACGAUGCAUAGCCGACCUGAGAGGGUGAUCGGCCACACUGGGACUGAGACACGGCCCAGACUCCUACGGGAGGCAGCAGUAGGGAAUCUUCGGCAAUGGACGAAAGUCUGACCGAGCAACGCCGCGUGAGUGAAGAAGGUUUUCGGAUCGUAAAACUCUGUUGUUAGAGAAGAACAAGGAUGAGAGUAGAACGUUCAUCCCUUGACGGUAUCUAACCAGAAAGCCACGGCUAACUACGUGCCAGCAGCCGCGGUAAUACGUAGGUGGCAAGCGUUGUCCGGAUUUAUUGGGCGUAAAGCGAGCGCAGGCGGUUUCUUAAGUCUGAUGUGAAAGCCCCCGGCUCAACCGGGGAGGGUCAUUGGAAACUGGGAGACUUGGGUGCAGAAGAGGAGAGUGGAAUUCCAUGUGUAGCGGUGAAAUGCGUAGAUAUAUGGAGGAACACCAGUGGCGAAGGCGGCUCUCUGGUCUGUAACUGACGCUGAGGCUCGAAAGCGUGGGGAGCGAACAGGAUUAGAUACCCUGGUAGUCCACGCCGUAAACGAUGAGUGCUAAGUGUUGGAGGGUUUCCGCCCUUCAGUGCUGC